CAGUGCUUAUAUGUAUGGCUUCUGCUCUGAGGAGGAACGGCUAUGGCAGCAACCGAGAGCAGUGAUUCGCAGACUAGAGAGCUGGAUCAGACGCCCACAUGGGCUGUUGCCGGUGUCUCUGCUUUCAUCAUCAUCAUUUCCAUGCCUUGGAAAAGGUCCUUCACAAACUUGGAACAUGGUUUACAGAAAGGCAGAAGAAAGCUAUGUUUGAAGCUCUGGAGAAGGUUAAAGCGGAAUUGAUGAUUCUAGGUUUCAUCUCCCUUCUCCUUACCUUUUGGG